UGCUUCCAUCUGGAGAAAUCUGGAGACAGGUGCUGCAUGGCUGUCGUCAGCUCGUGUCGUGAGAUGUUGGGUUAAGUCCCGCAACGAGCGCAACCCUUGCCUUUAGUUGCCAGCAGUUCGGCUGGGCACUCUAAAGGGACUGCCGGUGUUAAACCGGAGGAAGGUGGGGAUGACGUCAAGUCCUCAUGGCCUUUAUGACCAGGGCUACACACGUACUACAAUGGCCGAUACAAGGGCAGCGACACUGCGAGGUGAAGCCAAUCCCGUAAAAUCGGUCUCAGUCCGGAUUGGAGUCUGCAACUCGACUCCAUGAAGUUGGAAUCGCUAGUAAUCGUGGAUCAGCAUGCCACGGUGAAUACGUUCCCGGGCCUU
rnacentral:rRNA from 1 species